rnacentral:lncRNA from 1 species
CCAAUGCCCACAAUUGUGGAGCCGCCUCCUGCAUUCUCCGCAACACACCUCCCACUCCUCACAGCAGCUGAUGGAGAGACACUCGACCCAGGCCAGGCCAGAGGAGGCGUUGAAGCUGGAGCAGCCUCCGAUGUGCAAGGACCGAGAGCCGACCACAGCCUCUCAGAGCACAGGGAUGGCCACACCCAGGUCACACCCGCCUCUGGACACAGAUGCUGCCACGUCCUCCCAGGGUCCCGAGGACAGGCCAGAGAAUGUGGUGGCCAAGCCAGCCUCUGCAGAGGUGGAGGGCCCUGACGGAGCCCUCUCCCAGCUUCCCCUGGCCAAGUUCUUCCCUCCGGACAACCCCACCCACCAGAUGCUGGAGCGGAGCCUGCGGGAGGAGGAGCUGCGAGCACAGCACCAGGCCGCGCUGCUGCGCCUGCGAGAGAUGGCGCUCCAGGAGAAAACGCUCGCGGAGCUGGCCUGGCUGGAGCAUCGACGAGGGUGCCUGGACAGCAAGAGGGACAGAGCUGUGCUGGCCGCGCUGGUUGAGAAGCAGCAGCAAGCCCUCAGCAGAUUGGAGAAGGAGCAGAGGGAAAUCCAAUACCUGAGACACACGCAGCUGUUCAGGCACCGGGACAGGAAGCUGCUUCUGCAGCAUCAGAGGGACGUCGUCUCCAUGCCGGGGCCUGUGGACAUCCUCCCCAUCCCGGGGCCCACGGACGUCGUCCCAGCGCACGAGCUGCAGGCCCAGGCCAAGCUGCAGCAGGGUUCCAGCCCCAAAGUCAAGGCCGCCUGGGAGGGAGGCUCAGAGACAAGCCAGCAGCCAGAGGCCUCCCUGUGUCCCCUGACCCCAUGCAGGCCCAGCAGCUCCACCAGCCAUCGCCCCCAGAGCAGCCCCGCAAGCUCAAAGGCCACGCGCCCUCCCACUGAGCAGCAGGAUGUGACGCCACCCCAGACAACCUCCGAUGCAGAUGGUCACCAGCAGCCUCCGAGGCCAGCAUGGGGCGAGGACACACACGACCCCCAGGGCCCGCUGGUGGAGAGUGGCAGCCAUGUCAGUCAAGAGCCUGGGGAGCAGCCUCGGGCCCCUCUGCUGGGCCUGCAGCACGUGAGCCCCCCGGACGGACAGCGGCUGGGCCCAGCCUUUCCCGCCGAGGAGGCGGAGGGGCGCCUCCCCACAGCUCAGUGCAGGUCUCGGGAGGUGAAGGAGCCACCCCCAGGUAAGCACCCUGGAAACACCGCGUGGGCCUCCACGGCGCCAGACACUUCCCCCACAUCCAGCAGAGCCUGUCCGAGGCUGGAGCUCAGCCACUGGACAAGGACGGAAAGCAAAGAAGAUGGGCCCUGGUGGCCCCCCACCCUGGCCUCAGACCCCUUCACUGCAAGAAGAGUGGCCGGCUCCAUCUCCUACCGGAGGUGACGCAGCGGCUCUUCUGGAGAAAUUAAAAGUCAUAACUGGCUGGGAUUGUUUUAGUCGCAACUUCGUUCAUCUGGGGCAGAUUUUUAAGUGUUUGGAAGCCAGCACUGCCUGAGCGUCUUCAGCUGACGGAGGUUUCUGCACCGAUUACAUUUUUCUCUUUCUGAACCUUACACUUGGCCGG